GGAAUAUUGCACAAUGGGGGAAACCCUGAUGCAGCGACGCCGCGUGAGUGAAGAAGUAUCUCGGUAUGUAAAGCUCUAUCAGCAGGAAAGAUAAUGACGGUACCUGACUAAGAAGCCCCGGCUAACUACGUGCCAGCAGCCGCGGUAAUACGUAGGGGGCAAGCGUUAUCCGGAUUUACUGGGUGUAAAGGGAGCGUAGACGGCAGCGCAAGUCUGGAGUGAAAGGCUGGGGCCCAACCCCGGGACUGCUCUGGAAACUAUUUAACUUGAGUGCAGGAGAGGUAAGCGGAAUUCCUGGUGUAGCGGUGAAAUGCGUAGAUAUUAGGAGGAACACCAGUGGCGAAGGCGGCUUACUGGACUGUAACUGACGUUGAGGCUCGAAAGCGUGGGGAGCAAAC
rnacentral:rRNA from 1 species